UACGUAGGGGGCAAGCGUUGUCCGGAAUCAUUGGGCGUAAAGCGCUUGUAGGCGGCUCGAUAAGUCUGCUGUGAAAGUCCAGGGCUCAACCCUGGAAUGCCGGUGGAAACUGUCGAGCUAGAGUCCGGAAGAGGCGAGUGGAAUUCCUGGUGUAGCGGUGAAAUGCGCAGAUAUCAGGAGGAACACCAAUGGCGAAGGCAGCUCGCUGGGACGGUACUGACGCUGAGACGCGAAAGCGUGGGGAGCAAACAGG
rnacentral:rRNA from 1 species